CUUAGUGGCGAACGGGUGAGUAACGCGUGAGUAACCUGCCCUGGAGUGGGGGACGAACAGUUGGAAACGACUGCUAAUACCGCAUAAGCCCACCGGAUCCGCAUGGAUCUGCGGGAAAAGGAUUUAUUCGCUUCAGGAUGGACUCGCGUCCAAUUAGCUAGUUGGUGAGGUAACGGCCCACCAAGGCGACGAUUGGUAGCCGGACUGAGAGGUUGAACGGCCACAUUGGGACUGAGACACGGCCCAGACUCCUACGGGAGGCAGCAUG
rnacentral:rRNA from 1 species